AUAGCAGGGAUUGUGUGUAUCGACGUUGUGCAAAUUCAGUGCGCUAUGUUCGAAAGAGUUUCCUGCAAAAUCGAUCUUGGGGAAGAUGGGCAGUUGUGCUUCAUUCUUCCGUUGAUUCCUUUCAACAAUCAUCUUCCCCAUAUUC
rnacentral:snoRNA from 1 species